rnacentral:rRNA from 1 species
GACAGAGGGUGCAAACGUUGUUCGGAAUUACUGGGCGUAAAGCGCGUGUAGGCGGCAGGGCAUGUCGGAUGUGAAAUCCCGUGGCUCAACCAUGGAAGUGCACCCGAAACUGCCCAGCUUGAGUCUCGGAGAGGAAGGCGGAAUGCUUGGUGUAGAGGUGAAAUUCGUAGAUAUCAAGCGGAACACCGGUGGCGAAGGCGGCCUUCUGGACGAUGACUGACGCUGAGACGCGAAAGCGUGGGGAGCAAACAGG